CUCUUUUCACCCUCACCCACUCAAUUUUUCAUGAAUUUUUUUUUAGGAAUCAUGCAAGAAAUCAUGUAUAUGUGCUUCUAGGAGUGGCUUAAGCAAGAAACAAACUUCAAAUUUCUUUCUCCCUUUAUGUUUAGUCUCAACAGCCCCUUCCUCAUGAUUUUCCAGGUCUUCAAUCUCACUGUAAUCUCAUGGAAAAUAACUUAUGAGCUUGCCUUAGAGCAUUAAAGAAUGGAUCAAUCAUAAGGUGAAUGGUAUGAUCACAUUUUCAUGGAAAUUUAUUUAGUGUAAGCUUUGUCGUAUGUUGAAUGUGUAAUUGAAGAUGAUUAUGUGUAGUAAAGGUAUUUAGAAACAUGGUAUGAAGAAAUAAUGUGGCAUAUCUCCGUUCGCCACAACAAAGAGAAAUGUGCUAUAUUUCCGUUCGCCACAACGAAGAGAUAAUAUGGUUUAUGUACAAAUAGUGAAAAGAGAUAAAUGAUAUUAGUCAUGUUGAAAUGGUUAUUUUUAUAUAUUUAUUUGAAGAUGGGGUUGUAGAAUUUUAUGUAUGACUAACAGUUGGUUCAUGCUAAGAAUUUUUGUCCAAUAGUAUUGACUUUGAUAUUGGAAGUAUUCUUUUUUUUAGCAUGAAUUUGCUUUCAAAGGAUGAAACUUUUAGUUUAAAAAUUGUUUGGGUAAAGACCGUCACUUACCCAUUAUUUCUACUUUGUUUGUCAUGCUCC
rnacentral:lncRNA from 1 species